CAGGAGGAACAGGAAGACCAGAAACACCAGGAGAAGGAGAAGAAGAAAUAAUGAGUGAUUGUGUCUACAUUUACAGGAAGAGUUUGAUAUGGUAGAAAUGUUGCUUCUUUGGAGAAAUUGGUACUCAAAGAAUUACUCAUGUAGAGUUUCACUGUGCUGUCAUCUGAGAAAUCAAGUUCAUUACUGAACCCAUGCUUCAUCUCAGCUGCAUGAGAAGAUCACUACAGAUGCAGAUCACCACACUUAGCUAGUGAUCACAGGACCUACGAGUUUGGAAGGAGAAAAAGCUGCAGGAUUUAAAGUUACCAUGUUUGGAAAAAUGAUGAAGAGGAAGGACAGAGAGAUGCAAUGCCUGAGGAGUGUGCAGGCAAGAAUACCGACUUGAGAGACACUGCUGGAAUAAAUUUGGAGUUGAAUGAGUAAAGGAUGGUAGGCUUACACCUUUGGCAUUUACCACUAAUAUAUUUGGCAAGGAGACCACCCUGAAAGAGACUGCUGGAAUGAAUUUGGAAUUGAGUGAGAAAAUGAUGCUAGGCUUUCACCUUUGGCAUUAACCUCUAACAUAUUU